AGUCGAGCGGUAGAGAGAAGCUUGCUUCUCUUGAGAGCGGCGGACGGGUGAGUAAUGCCUAGGAAUCUGCCUGGUAGUGGGGGAUAACGUUCGGAAACGGACGCUAAUACCGCAUACGUCCUACGGGAGAAAGCAGGGGACCUUCGGGCCUUGCGCUAUCAGAUGAGCCUAGGUCGGAUUAGCUAGUUGGUGGGGUAAUGGCUCACCAAGGCGACGAUCCGUAACUGGUCUGAGAGGAUGAUCAGUCACACUGGAACUGAGACACGGUCCAGACUCCUACGGGAGGCAGCAGUGGGGAAUAUUGGACAAUGGGCGAAAGCCUGAUCCAGCCAUGCCGCGUGUGUGAAGAAGGUCUUCGGAUUGUAAAGCACUUUAAGUUGGGAGGAAGGGCAGUAAAUUAAUACUUUGCUGUUUUGACGUUACCGACAGAAUAAGCACCGGCUAACUCUGUGCCAGCAGCCGCGGUAAUACAGAGGGUGCAAGCGUUAAUCGGAAUUACUGGGCGUAAAGCGCGCGUAGGUGGUUAGUUAAGUUGGAUGUGAAAUCCCCGGGCUCAACCUGGGAACUGCAUUCAAAACUGACUGACUAGAGUAUGGUAGAGGGUGGUGGAAUUUCCUGUGUAGCGGUGAAAUGCGUAGAUAUAGGAAGGAACACCAGUGGCGAAGGCGACCACCUGGACUGAUACUGACACUGAGGUGCGAAAGCGUGGGGA
rnacentral:rRNA from 1 species